rnacentral:rRNA from 1 species
UACGGAGGGGGCUAGCGUUGUUCGGAAUUACUGGGCGUAAAGCGCACGUAGGCGGCUUUGUAAGUUAGAGGUGAAAGCCCGGGGCUCAACCCCGGAAUUGCCUUUAAGACUGCAUCGCUUGAAUCCGGGAGAGGUGAGUGGAAUUCCGAGUGUAGAGGUGAAAUUCGUAGAUAUUCGGAAGAACACCAGUGGCGAAGGCGGCUCACUGGACCGGUAUUGACGCUGGAGGUGACGAAAGCGUGGGGAGCAA